AAAAAUCAACUUAUAUACCUGUAGGUAAUAAACCAUAGAGAUGAUUUCAUCAAACAGAUUGGCAACUACAAAAGGUAAAAGACAAAAGCACUAUGAAUGUUACUGAGGAGUCUCCAACAAAGGAGCAAAGCUUCGCCCGCUCUCAGAGUUAACUGAGGAAGACAUUGAGAAAAUGGGGGACAAAGAACUCAGGAAACUCAUUGCAAAGCUGCUGGUCAACAAUGAGAAGUACAAACAAGAGUUCAAAGAAGAAAUAGCAGUAAUACAUCAAAUUAAGACUGAUAUAUCAGAAAUUAAGAACAUAGUAGAGCAAAUUAAAAAUACAGUGGAGAGUCUCAACAACAGAAUGAAUGAGGCAGAAGAAAGAAUAUUAGAAUUAGAAGAUAUUUCCUGUCACCAUGAAGAAACAAGCAAAAAGCUGGAAGCAGAGCUAGGUCAGGCUAAAAAAAGUA